AUAGCGUAUAUUAAAGUUGUUGCAGUUAAAAAGCUCGUAGUCGAAUUUCGGGAUUGUCUGCAUGGUCUUGCUUUGCAAGUACUAUGUGGGUUUUCCUUUUUUCCUGGUAGAUUACACUUUGUGUAAAAAGUCAGGACUUUUACUUUGAAUAAAUUAGAGUGUUCAAAGCAGGCUUUUGCUUGAAUACAUUAGCAUGGAAUAAUAAAAUAGGACUUUGGUUUUAUUUUGUUGGUUUUAAGAACCAAAGUAAUGAUUAAUAGGGACAGUUGGGGGCAUUAGUAUUUAGAAGUCAGAGGUGAAAUUCUUGGAUUUAUUGAAGACUAACUACUG
rnacentral:rRNA from 1 species